rnacentral:rRNA from 1 species
GACGAACGCUGGCGGCGUGCUUAACACAUGCAAGUCGAACGGAAAGGCCCUGCUUGCAGGGUACUCGAGUGGCGAACGGGUGAGUAACACGUGGGUGAUCUGCCCUGCACUCUGGGAUAAGCCUGGGAAACUGGGUCUAAUACCGGAUAGGAGCCCUUUUUAGUGUGAUGGUUGGAAAGUUUUUUCGGUGUAGGAUGAGCUCGCGGCCUUUCAACUUGUUGGUGGGGUAAUGGCCUACCAAGGCGGCGACGGGUAGCCGGCCUUGGAGGGUGGACGGGCACAAUUGGGCCUGGGUAACGGCCAGGCUUCCUCCGGGGGGAAGAAGGGGGGAAUAUUGACAAUUGGGGGAAAGCCUGUUCAACGAACGCGGGGUGGGGGAUGCCGGCUUCGGGUUUGUAACUCCUUUCGCGAGGGACGGAACUGUUUGUGACGGUACCUGGAGAAGAAGCACCGGCUAACUACGUG